CUCCAAUUGUUUUAUUUUACUGUGAAUAGGAAUAUUUCUUUGGUCCCCCAUUUUUCAUGGAUUCUUUAAAUGGUAUAAAAUAUACAUGAAAUGCAGUACCAGGCCAUUUCCACGACUCUUUUCGGAACUUCAACUUCUCUUCUGAGUUGUUACAGUCCAGUCAAAUACUUCUUAUAGAGAAGCAUAAAUGCACCUUCAAUAGGAGCACCGCAAAC